CACGCCGUAAACGAUGAGUGCUAGGUGUUGGGGGUCAAACCUCGGUGCCGCAGCUAACGCAUUAAGCACUCCGCCUGGGGAGUACGUACGCAAGUAUGAAACUCAAAGGAAUUGACGGGG
rnacentral:rRNA from 1 species